rfam:Candidatus Saccharibacteria bacterium 49-20 SCNpilot_bf_inoc_scaffold_22, whole genome shotgun sequence.
CCUAUGACCCGCGGGUCCUCUAACUCGAUGACGUUCGGACGAGCCGAACCACUCGCGA